UGCAACCCAAAAUGCUGUGGCCUUAAACCCCGCCCCCAACUGGGCCCGGAGAGGUGCAGGGGGCUUCGAGGUUUUGUCUUCCCCUCCCCGUCCCACUCCGCGGGCAGGUGUCUGCGCCCCGAGAUGCCCUCCACGGGCGUGGGGACCCCUUUCCCCGCUUCGCUCCUGAUCUACGAAACUGGGGCCGUCCCAGAACAGCCUUUAGGAACAGGGGAUUAAUUCAGCCGAUCAUGCAAUAAGCAUGAAUUGGGCGCCUGCUGUAUGCAGGGGCUUGCGCUUAGCUGGGCUUUGGAGACCACACUUUCCAACCACUUUCCUGUCAUAGACCAACCUGAAUCUCUCAUUCCUUCCUCCAAGUUUCCAGCAAUAAGAGGAAAAAUAACUAAUGAUAAGGGUUACAUCCGGAUGUCACCUGACACUUCGUCACCACGUCACCUUGGUGGCCCGUGGACUCUGACCGUCUCUCAGGCUUUCUUGUUCUGACGACCUUGGCGGUUCCGAGGAGAGCUGGUCAAGUGCUUUGUAGAGCAAGCGUGUCAAACUCUCCGCCCACAACGAAUACUUUUGCGGCCCAGCCAACAAAACGGAUUUUCUUCCGAGCCGUCGUCACCCGCUGCGCACGUCUUGAAGUACUUGGCCAGCCAAUGGCACGUCCGGGUUGCCCAGCAGUGGUCGAAGAGGAAGUCUGCGUUCAGACACGCUGCAAGGAGGAGCUGAGAACAGUCUGACUAUGCAUUACU